UCAAAUUUGAAAUCUGGCUCCUUCGGGGUCCGAGUUGUAAUUUGCAGAGGGUGCUUUGGCGUUGGCGGCGGUCUAAGUUCCUUGGAACAGGACAUCACAGAGGGUGAGAAUCCCGUACGUGGUCGCCUGCCUUCGCCGUGUAAAGCCCCUUCGACGAGUCGAGUUGUUUGGGAAUGCAGCUCUAAAUGGGAGGUAAAUUUCUUCUAAAGCUAAAUACCGGCCAGAGACCGAUAGCGCACAAGUAGAGUGAUCGAAAGAUGAAAAGCACUUUGGAAAGAGAGUCAAACAGCACGUGAAAUUGUUAUAAGGGAAGCGCUUGCAGCCAGACUUGCCUGUAGUUGCUCACCUGGGCUUUUGCCCGGGGCACUCUUCUGCAGGCAGGCCAGCAUCAGUUUGGGCGGUCGGAUAAAGGCCUCUGACACGUACUUCCUUUCGGGGUUGACAUAUAGGGGAGGCGUAAUGCGACCAGCCUGGACUGAGGUCCGCGCAUCUGCUAGGAUGCUGGCGUAAUGGCUGUAAGCGGCCCGUCUUGAAACACGGACCAAGGAGUCUAACAUCUAUGCGAGUGUUUGGGUGUCAAGCCCGAGCGCGUAAUGAAAGUGAACGGAGGUGGGAACCCCUCGGGGCGCACCAUCGACCGAUCCUGAUGUCUUCGGAUGGAUUUGAGUAAGAGCAUAGCUGUUGGGACCCGAAAGAUGGUGAACUAUGCUUGAAUAGGGUGAAGCCAGAGGAAACUCUGGUGGAGGCUCGCAGCGGUUCUGACGUGCAAAU
rnacentral:rRNA from 1 species